rnacentral:misc_RNA from 1 species
ACUUUCUCCACAUUGAACCCAAUUGUUGGGACAGUAGAUAAAACUUCACCAAUAUGUAGCUUGUAAAGUAUUGUUGUUUUACCAGCUGCAUCCAGCCCUAGCAUCACAACCCGCAUCUCGGUGUUGCCAAAGAAGGUAUCGAAGAGCUUACGAAAGACUUGACCCAUUGCGUGGCGCCGCCUUCUGAUUAUGAAUUUUGCAGGUUUCUGAUGUUGGUCUUGGAAUUUGGAUUUUUGAUCUCUCUAGUUACAAUUUGAUUCUAAUAAAAUUUUAUAAUCAGAAACGAUUGGACAGUGCUCCUUUACUUUGAUUAAUAUAUUUUUGCAACUGAAACAGAGCAGGAAAGGAAGAGGAAGGAGAGAUAGAAAAGGAGAGAG